GACGAACGCUGGCGGCGUGCUUAACACAUGCAAGUCGAACGGUAAGGCUCCCGCUUGCUGGGGUACACGAGUGGCGAACGGGUGAGUAACACGUGGGUGACCUGCCCUGCACUUCGGGAUAAGCCUGGGAAACUGGGUCUAAUACCGGAUAGGACCAUGGUGUGGAUACUGUGGUGGAAAGUUUUUUCGGUGUGGGAUGGGCCCGCGGCCUAUCAGCUUGUUGGUGGGGUAAUGGCCUACCAAGGCGGCGACGGGUAGCCGGCCUGAGAGGGUGGACGGCCACAUUGGGACUGAGACACGGCCCAGACUCCUACGGGAGGCAGCAGUGGGGAAUAUUGCACAAUGGGCGGAAGCCUGAUGCAGCGACGCCGCGUGGGGGAUGACGGCCUUCGGGUUGUAAACUCCUUUCACCAUCGACGAAGGGUUUCUGACGGUAGAUGGAGAAGAAGCACCGGCUAACUACGUG
rnacentral:rRNA from 1 species